ACGUCUUCAUCUCAUCUCUUUUUGCACUCCAACUAAUGACUUACUAUGUAGUAGAAUUUCUGACCUUUGACCUAUAUUUCUUGUCUUUUAAGAAUGUCCGCUCAUUUUCAAUUCUCUUCUAUUUUGUGCCAUUGAAUGGACCAGUUGUGGGACAAAGCUUCGGACAAUCCACUACACAAAUUGGCGUCACGAACAGGAUGGUUUAGAAGCUACAGGUCGACAGCCGCUCCCGCUCUCUCUGUCAGGCAGACAGUGUGCUGCACGCGCGCAUAACAAGAAGGAACUUCCUGAUGUUGCCUGACAGCACGACAUCAGCUGACAACUACUGGGGACGCCUCCCAGGAACGAGUGGAAGACGGGGACUGCUCCAACUGUCCUAGCACUGGCUGACUGAGGUGCGUCCGUGUGUCCUGCCACCCAAACCGCCAAAGUGUAUGAUCACCAAUUAGACGACUCAUAAUAGGAGCCUUUUGACUCUUAUAUAUGGUGGGACUCAAGGUAUGGCCGCUCAUGUGAACUAUCCUUACAACAAUUAGAAUGGUAUAAGAUGGACAACUAAUGACCCACAUUGUUCCUUUGCUCUCUGUCCUGCCUACGAAACCAAAAAUUUAGGUCAAAUGAUAAAACAGGGCGUAGCUGCCGCUGAUUGAACCGAUACGCAAAUACCACAUUUUCAAUUAUUUCGGUUGUCUGUUAAAAACAUAGCUAUUGGUUGCAAUUUGGACAUUCCUGCUGUAGGCUACAAGGAGCUAGCAGCUAUACAACAGCUGAGCUAAAAUAACAAAUUUAAGCAUAUCAAAAAAUUGUAGUUGCUUAUUACAUACACAAAGUCGCUUUGAGACAGAAGUCUGUAGAAAGUAUUCAGUAACAAACGUGUCCGCAUUAUUAAACUUUCUACCACAGGAAAUAUACUGAACAAAUACAGCAGUUACUGUCAGACUCUAAUCCGGAUUACCUUGUCUAUCAGAGACAUGGUUAAAACCCACAACACCUUUCGUUCUAAUUAAUGUCCCGGGGGACAAGAUUACAGAAAAGACAGAUCGAGUGACAAAGGGGGGAGGAAUUAUGAUUUAUGAAAGAGAAAACAUUAAAAGUAGAUCAAUUUGAGUAUGUUGAAAUUAAAAUUACAUUUUCCUCAGAAAUGUAUUUCAAGGUAAUUGUAGUAUACCGACCGACCACAGCUAAAGACAUUUUUCUUGAUUCAUUUUCAGACAUCCUCAAACAGCAUAGUAUGAAAGAAGUAACGUCAUGGGGGACGUUAAUCUGGACUGGUUAAAUAAAACACGUAGAAAGAAACUUAAGGAUAUUAUAAACGGCUUCUACAAGAUACAAAUGAUAAGCAGCCCUACUAGAAUUACAAUUGGAUGACAAAAAUCAAAGAGAACAUCUGUAAAUACACGAAUACAAAACCAGAAAGAAGAGUGCUAAAAUAAAAAUACCAUUGGAUUCUAAUAAAGACAUGAGGACUCAGCUCUCAUAAGAACAAUUAUAACAGGUCUAAAUACAGAUCGUAUGAUUUAAAAGUUUGGAGGAACAAAGUUACAAUGUUUAUGCGGAAGUCUAAGGCUGACUUUCACUUAGAAUUAAUCAAAGUUGCAAAAGGGAACAUUAGAAAGUAUGGAAAACCAGAUACAAACUUACGGAAAGAGAGCAAACAAGAAACAACACUAUAACAUUAAAUAUCAAUGGCGCUACUGUCGCAGACAGUCUGGACAUAAGUAAUAAUUUUAAUGAACAUUUCAUCCAGUCAGUACAAACCCUGAAUAAAAAGUCCCUCAAAAUCAGUGCAAAUAAUUGUCAUUUAUUCAGGAUGGACUAAUUUUAGAAUUAACAAAUGAAACAAAGUUAAACAAAAUCUUCCCUGCAUUACCAGACUCACGAUUUAGAUAUAUAUAUAUGGGUUGGACACUAUCUUCCUAAAAACAUAUAAGGAUUGUAUUAUUACUCGUAUAACAACAAUUGAUAAAUAAAUUAAUAACGGAAAACACUUUCCCUACCACGCCGAGAAACUGCAACUAUAAUUAAAUCCAUAAAGCAGGAAAUAAAGAAGACCAGAACAUGUACAGACCAAUUAGCCUUCUCCAUGUUAUAACAAUAGGAAUAGAAAAUGUGAAAUUAAAAAGUGGCUUUGGAGCAAUCAAGGCUGCUCACACGGUCAAUAAGAGGGGCAUUGUGUUGACACAUCAACUUAAUGUGUAGUAUAUUUAUCCAUGAGAGCAUUUUUGUUGUAAAUUGUGAGGUAUGGCUGUUAAAAUCUUGGUUGUUGUUAUGAAUGAUCACAGAUGUGAACAAGAGCAUGUAUUGUCUUUGUGUGAUGAUGUAAAUAAGGUGUGGUUGUAUUGUAUAUUAAGAAUGUGUCCAUGAAGGGGCAUUUUAGGACUUCUCUUAAUCUGAUUACAUGCUACAGUAUGAUUAUUUUUUGAUUAAUUAUUGAUUAUUAUGAAUGUAUAUAUUUAUUAUGAUUAAUUAGUGUCAUAAUUCCAUUGCUUGAUUUGUGGAUCCCUUUAAUUUAGGUAGCCAGGGACUACAGAUGGAAAGUAGCUAUUUAGAUAUAAUCUGUUACAGAACAUAUCUGUUUCUGAACUUAAUGUUUCUGUGCAUUGUUCUAUCAUAGAUAGACUAAAUUAAAUACAACUAUUUAGUGAAUUAUUGAGGCCACAAUAAUUCACUAGGUGUUGUAAAAUGUCAAAGUACUAUUGCAAAAGCGAACAGUGACCUCAAACAUGACCUGUCCUCCGCCUCUGUUCUUGUUGCGCUUGACUAUCAGCUGUCUUUUCUUUUUCUUGGAUGUUUCUGAAACUAUUAAUACUACUACUACUAUUACUAUUACUAUUACUACGACUAACACUGUCCCUGUGAGAGGGACAGAGGGGGGAGGUGAGUUUGGAUUGGGUCAAGUUUGAGCGUGUUGAGGUUUUAUUUAAUCGAUAUGAUCAAUCCGGUACAAGGAUAAAGGAACGUAAUGAUUUAGAUUGACAAUUGCAGUGGUUGGCGAAAGCAACCCCAACCUCAAAGGAGGGUGCCAAUUCAGUAAUUAAAUGUUUUGUGAAUUAUCUAAUAUCCCGACAUGGUUUCCCCAAAAAGAUUAGGUCAAACAACGGCACCUAUUUUAAGAAAACUGGUUAUCAUCUUCAGUCACAAGAUCAGCACUUCUCAGGACCAGCAGCUUCCUAGGAAGGCGGAAAGACCAUGAGACCAAAAUGGUAAGUUUGCAAAAUGUAGAAUUUGUGUGCCAGUUCCUCUGUGCAGAUUUGAGGAUGAAAGCAGCCACUCCAGAUUCCCUUGCACUCGCUAAGAGGGGCACGGUCAAAGCCGAUCCAGGACCAACACCCGAUACCUGACUGUAAGGAACCGAGAGGAGAGACAACACCUUGCCAGCGAUGACGAGAACAACUAAGGUUGCCAGCCAAUGUGUCCACCGGGACUCCAGCAGCUGUGGAAAGAAGUGUCGGGAGUGCCGAAGAGGCGAGGAGGCCUAGAAGCAAGCCGAGGGCCUGGACCAAAGCCCCACGCCCCAUACUCUUCCCCAAAGCCCCCACAGCUCCAACUUUUUCUCAGCUUUUCCCCAAUUUCGGCCAGCACGGACAUGCCAUUGCACAGUCUGCCCAAUGGACUGAACCACACCCCAAGAACAGACAGAGACAGACUAUUUGAGUGGAUCUCUUUCUUCACCAAGGCAGCCAAAAGCCCAACGAGGUGUCGGCAGGCCACCAGCCUGAGGCACCACCGAGCCAUCUAUACGAGCACUAAUCGAACAUGGACUCAUACGAAAUUCAGUUGUGUGUUCAAAAUCAAUUGAUAAUUAACAAUAUUGGUAACUACAUCCAUUGCAAAUGCCGGGAAAAAUAUUUUUGCAAAUGUCUUACAGUCAUAAGUCUAUAUACAGUCAUCUAUUUAUGUUCAAUGAUGCUCAUGAUCAAAGUAUUUGUUAUUCCUUUACUAAAUCAAAGGGUAGGCCACUAAUUGUGUUCUGUGAGAUGGUUUUACUGCAGGCUGGUAAGGUACAGGCAAGGCUUUUUUUAUCAGCGAGCAAAAGUUGCAAACUUUAUCGUCGAUGUUCUCUACUAAAUCCUUUCAGCAAAAAUAUGGCAAUAUCGCAAAAUGAUCAAGUAUGACACAUAGAAUGGAUCUGCUAUUCCUGUUUAAAUUAAAACAAAUAAUUUCAGUAGGCCUUUAACUUCGUCACACAUACGGCCCACGGGCCGGAUCAGGCCCUCCAACAGGUUUUAUCCAGCCCGCGGGAUGAGUUUGCUAAGUACAAAAAUGAGUCGAAAUUUUUGAAUGAAAGAAACUGCUGUUUUAAAUGUGUCCUCUAGAUGUCACAAUAGCAAUUCUUUGUAUCUUUGUAGAUGAUGCUACAUUUAAAAAAAAAACAAAAAAACACAUGAUGUUAGCGGACCAGUCGAGGAAAAUGAGCAAACUACAUCAAUAACAUCCUGUAAUUUGAUUUUGGUAUUCUUUUUUUAUCUUGAUAGAUUGAAAAUGAACACCAAUGAGUUGACUUAUGAACAUUAUCACAUCAUUGAUUCUGAAAGUGUAAAACAGGACAAAUAAAGAUAGAAUACUAUAAAACGCAACAUGUAAGUGUAAAAAAAACCCAACAACAUUAUGAUUUGUACAUUUUCAGAAUGUGUUUGUUCUAUUUUUAAACAAAGAAAACAAUCUGAAGUUGUCUUUAUUUUCAAGUUAUCUUGUCGUGAUUUUACCAGUCCGGCACACUUGGGAGUAGAUUUUUCUCUAUGUGGCCCCCAUCUAAAAUUAGUCUGACACCCCUGGCCUAGAUCUUCCUGCGAAAAGCAGAUAUGAGAAAAAAAUCCAACUCUGAAACGGAAUAGAUCCCUAAAGAAUUGUUGAGUAAUAUCAAGGAUUAUCCGUCGGUGGCGUUCCCAGACAUGUGGAACUAUCUUGAGUUCCAGACGUCAUUCUACACCACAAAAUAGAUGAAAGCUUAAAAAGGCAUGGAUGGCUACAAUUUAUUUGUGUGUGGCUGGGUCAAGUCAAAUAGUAUCAAGACUCUCACGGAUAAAUCAUGCGUGUAAGGUUGCAUUUUAUCAUUCAACUUUGCGUCUUGCGAGGACGUCCAUGUAAACAAACAAGGACUAGGACCCCACAUCUGCCACCCGUGACUGCAUAUCCAUUUAACUAACUAACUAUUAUUCAAUCAUCACCAUAUUUCAUGUUUGUCCUGUUUUUGGUUAAUAAAAGUCCACAACCAUAAAAUACUUCCAGUAA